GUUUUGCUGUUAUUACAUGCUUUUGUAUUGGCAACAAAAAGCAACUUUAAUUUCUUUACCGCAUAUUUUAGUUUAAAAAUUUCUACCUAACAUAUGUUUUAAUCAGAAUGUCUCGAAAAGAUAAAUCAUUGCAUGAAAAAGUAAAACAAUUUUUUAGCAAAAAAGAAGCAGUUCCUAUCAAUUUUGAAAAAUUUCGAAAAGAGCCUUAUGUUAUUAGCAGUGACAUUUUAAAGAACCUCAGCUCUGAAAAUCCCCAAAACUUGCGUUUAAAAACCAUCAAAGAAUUGUAUGAUAUAGUAUUCACGAAAAGGUUAGAAGAU